UACGUAGGUGGCAAGCGUUGUUCGGAUUUAUUGGGUUUAAAGGGUGCGUAGGCGGCUUUGUAAGUCAGUGGUGAAAUAUGGCAGCUCAACUGUCAAGGUGCCAUUGGUACUGCGGAGCUUGAGUGACAGAUGAGGUAGGCGGAAUUGACGGUGUAGCGGUGAAAUGCUUAGAUAUCGUCAAGAACACCUAUAGCGAAGGCAGCUUACUAGGCUGUAACUGACGCUGAGGCACGAAAGUGUGGGGAGUCAAACAGG
rnacentral:rRNA from 1 species